GGAACCGUGAGACAGGUGCUGCAUGGCUGUCGUCAGCUCGUGUUGUGAAAUGUUGGGUUAAGUCCCGCAACGAGCGCAACCCUUAUCCUUUGUUGCCAGCGGUCCGGCCGGGAACUCAAAGGAGACUGCCAGUGAUAAACUGGAGGAAGGUGGGGAUGACGUCAAGUCAUCAUGGCCCUUACGACCAGGGCUACACACGUGCUACAAUGGCGCAUACAAAGAGAAGCGACCUCGCGAGAGCAAGCGGACCUCAUAAAGUGCGUCGUAGUCCGGAUUGGAGUCUGCAACUCGACUCCAUGAAGUCGGAAUCGCUAGUAAUCGUGGAUCAGAAUGCCACGGUGAAUACGUUCCCGGGCCUUGUACACACCGCCCGUCACACCAUGGGAGUGGGUUGCAAAAGAAGUAGGUAGCUUAACCUUCGGGAGGGCGCUUACCACUUUGUGAUUCAUGACUGGGGUGAAGUCGUAACAAGGUAACCGUAGGGGAACCUGCGGUUGGAUCAC
rnacentral:rRNA from 2 species